UUGAACGCUGGCGGCAGGCCUCACACAUGCAAGUCGAACGGUAACAGAAAGCAGCUUGCUGCUUUGCUGACGAGUGGCGGACGGGUGAGUAAUGUCUGGGAAACUGCCUGAUGGAGGGGGAUAACUACUGGAAACGGUAGCUAAUACCGCAUAACGUCGCAAGACCAAAGAGGGGGACCUUCGGGCCUCUUGCCAUCGGAUGUGCCCAGAUGGGAUUAGCUAGUAGGUGGGGUAACGGCUCACCUAGGCGACGAUCCCUAGCUGGUCUGAGAGGAUGACCAGCCACACUGGAACUGAGACACGGUCCAGACUCCUACGGGAGGCAGCAGUGGGGAAUAUUGCACAAUGGGCGCAAGCCUGAUGCAGCCAUGCCGCGUGUAUGAAGAAGGCCUUCGGGUUGUAAAGUACUUUCAGCGGGGAGGAAGGGAGUAAAGUUAAUACCUUUGCUCAUUGACGUUACCCGCAGAAGAAGCACCGGCUAACUCCGU
rnacentral:rRNA from 1 species